UACAGAGGCUGCAAGCGUUAUUCGGAUUCACUGGGCGUAAAGGGUGCGCAGGCGGCCGAGUGUGUGAGGCGUGAAAGCCCGGGGCUUAACCCCGGAAUUGCACCUCAAACUACACGGCUAGAGCAUUGGAGAGGGUAGCAGAAUUCAUGGUGUAGCAGUGAAAUGCGUAGAUAUCAUGAGGAAUACCAGAGGCGAAGGCGGCUACCUGGACAAUUGCUGACGCUCAGGCACGAAAGCGUGGGGAGCAAACAGG
rnacentral:rRNA from 1 species